rnacentral:rRNA from 1 species
UACGUAGGUGGCAAGCGUUGUCCGGAUUUAUUGGGUUUAAAGGGUGCGUAGGCGGCUUUUUAAGUCAGUGGUGAAAGCCGAUCGCUUAACGAUCGAACUGCCAUUGAUACUGAAAGGCUUGAGUAUAGAUGAGGUAGGCGGAAUUGACAGUGUAGCGGUGAAAUGCAUAGAUAUUGUCAAGAACACCAAUUGCGAAGGCAGCUUACUAAGUUAUAACUGACGCUGAGGCACGAAAGUGCGGGAUCAAACGGG